GGGCUGUUCGGCGGCAGGGGGCUCAGGGCUGGGCUCGACAGCAACGACUGGUGGCUCGGGGCUGGGCUCGACAACAACAACUGGUGACUGGGCUCGACGGCGGGUGGGGGUUCUCGGGUCUGGGCUCGACGACACAGGAGCUGGGCAGAGGGCUGGGCUCUCCUAUCUCUCCAUGAACGCAAACCCAUUUCAGCUCAAGAUCUAUUCCAUUUUCAAGCAUGUUUAUGUGUGGCAUGCAAUAACAGGCUACUGGGGUGGUGUUAGACCAGGAAUUGCCGAAAUGGAACACUCUUUGUUAAAGUUGAUGUUCAGAACAUUUUUGAGACUCUUGGGGCAGGCCAUGGUGGAAGGGUGAAACUGGCUAGAAAAUAUCAUCAGGCAUUGGAGGCUUCAGGUAUAUGGUUUCAUUUACUUGAAAUACUAAAUUAAUAUCAAAUUACUAACAAUGACUGUCUUCUGUGAGGCAAUCAUUACCUUUUUCCUCUCCAAUUUUUCCUUCCUGCAUGAUGCUCAAUUAAUCUGAAAACUGUGGUAGUUAUUAUCCUUGUCAAUAAUAAUAACCAUAUUGUUAUAGUUUUGUUACUGCAAAACUUUUUUUUUAAUGCCAAUAUGUGUUGUUGCGUAGCUUUGAAAGUUCAUACUAGUGCAUCCAGAUUUUGUCAUAUCAUUUAUGGGCUUGUUGCGUCAAUAUUUAGGGAGUAGGGACUUUUCAUGAAGGUUUCUUUAUUUUAUCGAAUGGGUUUGCUUUCUACUCUAGGAAGGUCCAAGUAAUGGGUGGUUCUAUGAGUGCUUAAUGUAAAGAUUUACAUCUUUUCCUGAUUUACUUGGGAAUUGGUGUCCUUGGUUGUAUUUCUAAGAUGAUAACUUAUUAUCUGCAAUAACUUUUGCAAUAACUAAUGAAUCUCUUGUUAGAAUUAAUCGAUAUUAAAUGUGGAAAAUAAACAAGAAUUGGUAAAUAUAGUGAAGCCUCAAGAAUGCUAUUCUCUCGCCAAUGAAACUCGCUGCAUUCAAUCUCACACACUAUUUUUCACUCAUUAGUGCUUUUAAACUGAUAGAAAUUGUUUGAUUAUAAAUUUGCAGGAGAAGAAGUGUAUCUUCCCAAGGAUGCAUCUUUGCCAGUAACACUAAAAUCAAGAGAAUAUGAAGUGUUUACUGUGGUUCCAGUGAAGGAGUUGUCCAAUGGAGUGAGAUUUGCUCCAAUUGUAGCAAUUGUGAAUAAACUUAUUUAUGUAUACUACAAUAAAAAUCUAGUUAUAAUUUUUCAUGUUUGGUGUAUUAUAAUGUGAUUUUUCAUGUUUCAAGGAUGAUUUUAGAAAGAAAUUCAUGGCUGUUAUUUUAAUCAA